AUACGUAGGUGGCGAGCGUUGUCCGGAUUUACUGGGUGUAAAGGGCGAGUAGGCGGGCUUGCAAGUCAGAUGUGAAAUACCGAGGCUCAACUUCGGGGCUGCAUUUGAAACUGCGAGUCUUGAGUGAUGGAGAGGCAGGCGGAAUUCCCAGUGUAGCGGUAAAAUGCAUAGAUAUUGGGAAGAACACCAGUGGCGAAGGCGGCCUGCUGGACAUUAACUGACGCAGAGGAGCGAGAGUGUGGGGAGCAAACAGGAUUAGAUACCCUGGUAGUCCACACCGUAAACGAUGGAUACUAGGUGUGCGGGGACUGACCCCCUGCGUGCCGCAGUUAACACAAUAAGUAUUCCACCUGGGGAGUACGAUCGCAAGAUUGAAACUCAAAUGAAUUGACGGGG
rnacentral:rRNA from 1 species